ensembl:snoRNA LOC120097229 small nucleolar RNA SNORA48
AGCCACUCUGGCAAUGGGUAAAGAGACAAUUUGAUCAUGGUGCUGCUCUAAUAUCAGCCAGAGACAGAGCAGAUGGGAAUCCUUUGUUCAUCCUAGCCUGAUGCCCAGUUUGUUAUCCAAAGCUGUUUGAUGACCAGGACACAUAA